AUGCCGUAUUGGUGUGUACUCUUUACGGAAUCAUGUCCUCCUCCCGAAUAUAUGAAUGUUUGUUGUAUUCUCUUUCGAGUUCAUCUUGUUCAGAGGUUAGGAAUCGCGUUUGUUAAGACCUGUUUAAGGAAAGUAGAAAGUGAACCGGAGCUCGGAGCAUUGAAGGGAGGGUUGCACUAUUCGUUUCUUUGA